GCCAGAAUAAGACGCCUGGGUGGCUCAGUUGGUUAAGCAUCUGACUGUUGAUUUUGACUCUGGUCAUGGUCCCAGGGUCAUGAGAUGGAGCCCUGUGUGGGGCCUGGUUGGGAUUCUCUCUCUCUCUCUCCCUCUGCCCCUCGUGGGAUUCUCUCUCUCUCUCUCUCUCUCUCUCUCUCUCUCUCUCUCUCUCUCUCUCUCUCUCCCUCUGCCCCUCGUGGGAUUCUCUCUCUCUCUCUCUCUCUCUCUCUCUCUCUCUCUCUCUCUCUCUCUCUCUCUCUCUCUCUCUCUCUCUCUCUCUCUCUCUCUCUCUCUCUCUCUCUCUCUCUCUCUCUCUCUCUCUCUCUCUCCCUCUGCCCCUCGUGGGAUUCUCUCUCUCUCUCUCUCUCUCUCUCUCUCUCUCUCUCUCUCUCUCUCUCUCUCUCUCUCUCUCUCUCUCUCUCUCUCUCUCUCUCUCUCUCUCUCUCUCUCUCUCUCUCUCUCUCUCUCUCUCUCUCUCUCUCUCUCUCUCUCUCUCUCUCUCUCUCUCUCUCUCUCUCUCUCUCUCUCUCUCUCUCUCCCUCUGCCCCUCGUGGGAUUCUCUCUCUCUCUCUCUCUCUCUCUCUCUCUCUCUCUCUCUCUCUCUCUCUCUCUCUCUCUCUCUCUCUCUCUCUCUCUCUCUCUCUCUCUCUCUCUCUCUCUCUCUCUCUCUCUCUCUCUCUCUCUCUCUCUCUCUCUCUCUCUCUCUCUCUCUCUCUCUCUCUCUCUCUCUCUCUCUCUCUCUCUCUCUCUCUCUCUCUCUCUCUCUCUCUCUCUCUCUCUCUCUCUCUCUCUCUCUCUCUCUCUCUCUCUCUCUCUCUCUCUCUCUCUCUCUCUCUCUCUCUCUCUCUCUCUCUCUCUCCCUCCCCCUCACUCACUUGCACCCUCUCUUUGUCUCUGAAAGAAAGAGAGGAAGGAAGGAAGGAAGGAAGGAAGAAGGAAGGAAGGAAGGAAGGAAGGAAGGAAGGAAGGAAGGAAAAAGCCCAGAAUAGGCAAAUCCAGAGUCAGAAAGAUUAGUGACUGCCAGGGACUGGGAUCAAGGGAGGCUGAGGGGGUGGAGGGCAACUGUUAGCUGGCAUGGGGCUUCUUUUUAGUGUCAAAUGCAAUUUACUGACUGCUAGUGUGCAUGGACUUCAUUGAUGAAAAUGUUCUAAAAUAGAUUGUGAUGUAACACCCGGGUAGUUCAGUCGGUUAAGUGUCUGACUUCAGCUCAGGUUGUGAUCUCCCAAUUCGUGAGUUCGAGCUCCCAUACCGGGCUCUCUGGUGUCAGGGCAGAGCCUGCUUCAGAUCCUCUGUACCCCCUCCCUUUCCG
rnacentral:lncRNA from 1 species